rnacentral:rRNA from 1 species
CAGUCGCCGCGGUAAAACGGAGGGUGCAAGCGUUAAUCGGAAUUACUGGGCGUAAAGCGCACGCAGGCGGUUUGUUAAGUCAGAUGUGAAAUCCCCGAGCUUAACUUGGGAACUGCAUUUGAAACUGGCAAGCUAGAGUCUUGUAGAGGGGGGUAGAAUUCCAGGCGUAGCGGUGAAAUGCGUAGAGAUCUGGAGGAAUACCGGUGGCGAAGGCGGCCCCCUGGACAAAGACUGACGCUCAGGUGCGAAAGCGUGGGGAGCAUACAGGAUUAGAUACCCGCGUAGUCCCUGUCUCUUAUAC